UCGGUCAGUGUACCAUGUUAAGGGUCAAAAAAAUUUUCCGGACAUACCAAAAUUUUUCGUAACAUCACACAAAUUUUCCAAAAACCACUACAUUGGCCACAAAAUUGAGUAAAUUUUCGACAAAAUUGACAGAAUUUGUCCCAUUUAUUUUUAUAACAAACCAAAAUUGCCCGACUGUAACUCGAAUAUUGCCCGACUGCCCAAAAAACUGGGGGGGGGUUACCGCCCCCCCCCCC